CCAAAUUUGCUCAGGCCAAUCUACACCCCAUGGCCAUUCAAAGUUGUAAAAAUCAUGACGCUGCACCCCACGGUUUACGUUCUAGGGGGCGCCAAAGAUGACCCAAAAAUCCACAUUCUUAAAGGAAUCCACAUCCCCCCCCCAAGGCAGGAGAAAAAGUCAAGUUAACCCUGCCCAUCGCUCAAUGGCUCAAUCGCAUCGCUCUCCAGGCAACACCGUAAAGAGGAGCAACCUGCCAUUUCGAUAUAUCAUAGCUGUGUUUGUGCCCUCACUCAUGGUCCAGACUUUUUUCAAAUAGGACAUGAAGUUUGUCUGCAGCGAGUGUUUUGGUAGAAACUGCGCCUCCCAUUCAUUAUAAUGGGAAAUGACCACAGACAAGUGCGCACACCAUCUUUGGACCUUGAGUGUGACGCGAUCGGGAGGGGGAGGCGGUCGCGCUGGGGGCGGCGCGACGCGGCUCGGGCCCGACAGUGCCCCACCGGGGCCCUAGUUAGGGCCCGAGCCAGCUGCAGAGCAGCCGGGCGUAGGCCCUAUUAUUCCCCAAGUGGUUUUUCUUUGUUUCUUUCUUUCUUUCUUUCUUUCUUUAGGGCCCGAGCCAGCUGCAGAGCAGCCGGGCGUAGGCCCUAUUAUUCCCCAAGUGGUUUUUCUUUGUUUCUUUCUUUCUUUCUUUCUUCUUUUUCCUCCCCUUUGAACUGGAAAAUGGCCCACUUCCCACUGGCGAAAACUCAUGAAAUUUGGCAGGACGACCGGGCCUGGUGAAAAAUUCGAUAUUCUGAAGUCGCCCAAACAAUAAAAUGCAAAAUGGCUCCAUAGCGCCCCCUAAGGUGGAAAUUCACACUAUUGACUGUCACGCCUGUACGCUUUGUCAUAUUGACACAAAAAUUGACACACAUAUGUAUCUUAAUAAGAUCUACAAAAAAGUCAGUGCGGCCGUAUCUGUCCAAAUUACGGUUAAAGGGUUAUUUCGCAUUUUUUGCCGAUCCGCACACAUUGGAAUUUCGCUAACUCCUCCGAAGGCUUUCGUUCCACCGGCACCACAUUUGCUCAGGCCAAUCUACACCCCAUGGCCAUUAAAAGUUAUUCAAAUCAUGACGCUGCACCCCACGGUUUAGGUUCUAGGGGGCGCCAAAGAUAACCCUAAAAUCCACAUAUUUCAAAGUCUUAUAACUUUUUAUUUUUGUCCUCACUGGCCUCCAAGUUUUCUAGGAUGAUGCAAUGUCCAGCCAUCAACACAUUUGUGAAGGAAUUUUUACUCCCCAAAAGAGCGCCCCCCCAUGGCAGAAGAAAAAAGUCCAUUUUUUCUUGUCCCCUAAGGUGAAAAUACACAUUGUUGAGUGUCACGCCUAUACGCUUUGUCAAAAUGACACAAAAAUUGACACACACAUGUAACUCAAUAAGAUCUACGAAAAAGUCAAUGCGCGCGUAUCUGUCAAAUGUACGGUUAAAGGGUUAUUCCGCAUUUUUUGCCGAUCCGCACACAUUGGAAUGUGGCUAACUCCUCCUAAGGCUUUCGUUCCACCGGCACCACAUUUGCUCAGGCCAAUCUACACCCCAUGGCCAUUAAAAGUUAUUCAAAUCAUGACGCUGCACCCCACGGUUUAGGUUCUAGGGGGCGCCAAAGAUAACCCUAAAAUCCACAUAUUUCAAAGUCUUAUAACUUUUUAUUUUUGUCCUCACUGGCCUCCAAGUUUUCUAGGAUGAUGCAAUGUCCAGCCAUCAACACAUUUGUGAAGGAAUUUUUACUCCCCAAAAGAGCGCCCCCCCAUGGCAGAAGAAAAAAGUCCAUUUUUUCUUGUCCCCUAAGGUGAAAAUACACAUUGUUGAGUGUCACGCCUAUACGCUUUGUCAAAAUGACACAAAAAUUGACACACACAUGUAACUCAAUAAGAUCUACGAAAAAGUCAAUGCGCGCGUAUCUGUCAAAUGUACGGUUAAAGGGUUAUUCCGCAUUUUUUGCCGAUCCGCACACAUUGGAAUGUGGCUAACUCCUCCUAAGGCUUUCGUUCCACCGGCACCACAUUUGCUCAGGCCAAUCUACACCCCAUGGCCAUUAAAAGUUAUUCAAAUCAUGAUGCUGCACCCCACGGUUUAGGUUCUAGGGGCGCCAAAGAUAACCCUAAAAUCCACAUAUUUCAAAGUCUUAUAACUUUUUAUUUUUGUCCUCACUGGCCUCCAAGUUUUCUAGGAUGAUGCAAUGUCCAGCCAUCAACACAUUUGUGAAGGAAUUUUUACUCCCCAAAAGAGCGCCCCCCCAUGGCAGAAGAAAAAAGUCCAUUUUUUCUUGUCCCCUAAGGUGAAAAUACACAUUGUUGAGUGUCACGCCUAUACGCUUUGUCAAAAUGACACAAAAAUUGACACACACAUGUAACUCAAUAAGAUCUACGAAAAAGUCAAUGCGCGCGUAUCUGUCAAAUGUACGGUUAAAGGGUUAUUCCGCAUUUUUUGCCGAUCCGCACACAUUGGAAUUUCGCUAACUCCUCCGAAGGCUUUCGUUCCACCGGCACCACAUUUGCUCAGGCCAAUCUACACCCCAUGGCCAUUAAAAGUUAUUCAAAUCAUGACGCUGCACCCCACGGUUUAGGUUCUAGGGGGCGCCAAAGAUAACCCUAAAAUCCACAUAUUUCAAAGUCUUAUAACUUUUUAUUUUUGUCCUCACUGGCCUCCAAGUUUUCUAGGAUGAUGCAAUGUCCAGCCAUCAACACAUUUGUGAAGGAAUUUUUACUCCCCAAAAGAGCGCCCCCCCAUGGCAGGAGAAAAAAGUCCAUUUUUUCUUGUCCCCUAAGGUGAAAAUACAUAUUGUUGAGAUUCACGCCUAUACGCUUUGUCAUAUUGACACAAAAUUUGACAAUCACGUGCCUUGCCUGGUAUCCUUUUUUUCAGCACAACCUCACCUGUGCGAAUUUACAGUUAUUUUAUCAUGUUGACAUACUGAAUUUACACAAUGGACCCAAAUUCACACACAAAACAUAAAAUCCGAGUGGAAAAAAGUAACAUUUUUACUGUGAAAACCACAAAUAUGUGUGAUGAACUGUUUUUAAAACUUAAACUUCAAAUAAAAAUUGUAAACUUCAAAACAUAUGCAAAUUUUUAACAAAGAACAUAGUGAUUUACCUCUAUUUACAUCAAAAUGCAGGCAAUGGCCCAGGCGUUCUUUGUAAAAUUAUUUACAAAACACUGUAUAGUCUCACAAAUGUCACUUUUUAUUUAUGCCACUACAAAAAAACAUGAUGUAAAUGAUGCAUGAUGUAAAACAUGAUGUAAAAAACUUGUGUAGAUCCUCCUCUAUGUCAGUCCAUGUGUAAUUUUUCCAUAAUUCUUUGUUUUUUGCAGCAUUUUUGUUAGUGUAACUGCAGAUUGUGCUGACAGUGUCUAUGGCACAAAAAAAAAAAAAUUAAAAUGCCUCAACAUGAACCCCUGGUGGUCUCUGAGGGUGAAACCUGCUAACUGCUGCAGCUCUGUCAGCUUCAGUCUCCCAUGCAGAGCUCUGAGCGCAUGUGUGGCUCUGCACCCUUAGCAGCGUUGCUAACUCCUCAGUAAGGAAAGCCUGCUUCAUGUCAGAGUCUCUAAACUCCAGAAGAAGUUGAUAAAAUUCCCUUUCUUUCUAAAAAAAAAAGUCGUUAGGGGGGUCUGAAAAGUCAUUGAAUCUAACAACAAAGUCGCUAGGUUUGCAACUACGUGUCCCAGACUGCAUCCCUGCUGAGAGUCCCUCCCUCGCUUCUCAUGUUGCAGGAAGAACGUAAGCGCCCUCCCCUUGUCAAUCAGUCACCAUAUAAUUUUGGAUUGGUUGUUGUGGUGAAGUUUUCCACCAAUAGGAGAGAUGUUGUGGUGUGUUUUUUUUUUCUUCUGGCAAGCCUUUUCCGCCUGUAAGACCUGUCGCUAAUGUCUGCAUGCUAUGUUUUCCUGUCUCAUACAGCGCGAUCGAGCGCCGAACGUGAUCAAAAUAAGCAGAAAAAAAGUAUCGCGGACAUAAUUUAUCAUAACUCUGGUUUUAUUUGGCCUAUCAACACAAUUUAAAAACUGGUAUAUAGGUUGAGGUCCUCACUUUUGAGAUAAGUUGAAACGGAGAGUCAACGAGGCUCCGUCU